GAUGAACGCUGGCGGCGUGCUUAACACAUGCAAGUCGAACGGAAAGGACCGGGUAUCGUGGGGUGCUCGAGUGGGGACCGGGCGCGUGACAGGAAAGUAUACCGAACUUGCCUUUGGGAGAACUUCAGGAAAUUGGGGCUAAUACCGGUUCGGCGCUGCUGCUGCAUGGGGGGGGUUGGGACGUUUGGGCGGUUGGGGAUUGACUCGGGGCUUAGCAGCUUGUUGGUGGGGUAGUGGCGUACCAGGGCUUUGACGGGUAGCCGGCCUGAGAGUGUGACCGGCCACAUUGGGACUGAGAUACGGCACAGACUCCUACGGGAGGCAGCAGUGGGGAAGAUUGCACAAUGGGCGGAAGCCUGAUGCAGCAAGGCCGCGUUCGGGAUUGCGGCCUUCGGUUAGUAAACCGCUUUGGCCUGUGACUAAGCGUGAGUGACGGUAACGGAUAAAGAAGCACCGGCUAACUACGUG
rnacentral:rRNA from 1 species